rnacentral:lncRNA from 1 species
CACCACUGUGGAAAGGAGGGGCAUUGGAGGAGGAAUUGUAGGUUAUACCUUGCAAGUCUAAAUGACAAGCCACAAGGUAUGGUUUAUGUUCUUAUCUUCAAUUCUAAAUGUUAGAUCUUCUAAAUAUUUAUAUUUGAUAUAAAGAGCUAAUCACUUGUAUAAUUGUAUAUAGGUGGAGAAGCCAAGUAGAAGAUGAACAAGCAAGGAAAACAUGGUGAAGGGUUCGGCCACUAUAUUUUUGCUUACUACUUAGAAAGUUUGUUAGGCAUUAAAGAUUGUCUUUAAACUUUCUUAUUUUGUUAAGAACUUAUUAUAUGGCUUCAUAUGAUGGAAGACCACUAAUAGUGCCUAAAUGUAUAAAGGUAUUUAUAUUAGUCUCUAAAUGUAUAGAGCUAAUAUUUUUUUUUGUAUUAAACAUUAUGAAUGUUUGAAAUAUCAUAUUAAUGUAAUGUGAUGAAUGCCUUUUUAAAUAUACUAUUUCCUUAAAGUAGUGUUAUGAAUUAAAAAAUUGUCUUGUUGUAUCCUAGAUGAGAUACAAGAGUUAUAUCACUUAUUGUAAUGUGAUAAACCAAACUUUAGAUUUAUCAAUUAUGGAUAGAUCUCACAUGUAGGACAUAAAAGGAUACAAUGAAUCUUUAGAUUUGGUUCCAUUUGUCUACCUAUGAGUUCUAUAUGAAUUGACAAAACUCUAGAGAUUCCUUUCUUGAAGAAAAGGAAGAUCACAUUACAAUGAUAUAAGUAAUAAGAAAAACGUUUCUUAUAUGGUUGUCACUUGAAACACAAUGAUCAAGAUCACUCUUGAUUCAAUUAGUAGUUUUGAACAUCUAAUUGGGCAUUCUUUAAAAGUUUUAAAAUGUCAAUUGUGUUAGUGAUUAAACCAAGAAAGAAGUAUCUAAAUCUAUAAAAGGUUUAAAGACUUUAGCUACUUAAAUAAACAAGACAUUAAAACUUAGUGAAGAUUGAAACAAAUAAGCUUGAAAUGUUUUAAAGCUACUACACAAUGUCUUCUACCAAUAUAAUCCACUUUUAUACAUUUUGUAUGUAUGAAAUGAUUUCUCAUUAAAGUCAUGAGAAAUAGUGGGAGGUGUGAAAAUGGAUAUAAACUUUAAUAUGAUUGGUUUAUAGUUGUCUAAAGAAUAAUAGUACUUGACUAUUAUUAAGAGUUUGCAAUUUUAAUUGUUAAAAGACUCAAGCUCUUCAAACGUUAAAAUUCUAUGUUGUGUGACAUUCUAAAGAAUAGUCUUUGAAUGUUGGUUUCGUCAACCUAGCAUAAAAUGGUUAUAUGUUGGGAGUUGUCCAUUAUAUUCUUUUAUGAGAACAAACUAAUUACAAAGCAUAUGGACAAGUUGAUGAAACAAAAGGGGAUUAGUUUCAAAAUGAGUCACAACAUAUGGUUUAACAAAGAGACAAUCCAAAUUCAACAUCUCAUGUAACGAUGUUGCUCUAUGUAGUUUUGAUAAAGAAUUAUAUCAACCACCUAGAAGGAAUGGUUGAGUUUCUAUAACCUUAGUAGGAGCCAUGCUUCCACUAAGGAAUUGGAUAAUUCUUCUAUGACUACAUUAAAGGUCUUAGUAUGACUAAAACUUGUAGUAUGGUGUAUGACAUCGUAUAAUUAAAUGAAUGGACUUGAUAAAACAAGUCACAUAUUCAAAAGGAAUUACUUUAGAAGGAAUUCUUUUGUAUGUGAUUCGUUUAAAUAACUUGUGUUAGCUAGGGUUGUUAAUGGUCUCAAAAUUGUUGAGACAUCAUCAAUAAGCUAAUGGAUCUCAAUGAUUCUUAAUGGAUCCAAGACAAGUUAGUGGGAGCAAUAUGCAUUCAAAUUAAGAAAAAUGUAAGUGUUAAAUUUUUGAAUGAAUGCUAAGUUACGACAAGACCAUUGGGAGUGAUGUUAUAAUUUGAGCAACAUGAUGUGAAUAAAGUCUAUUUGAUAGACUUAAUAAAACAUAGAUGUUACUCGAGAAAUGACAAAACAUGACAUGGUCAAUUUUGAAGUAUAGACUUGAAAUUGGACUUAUUGAUAUAGCAAGGCUAUCUCAAUAAUGUUAUAUGGGAAUUAAAUCUCAAAUGUUGUAGAUUUAAGAAAGCAUUUUCCUAUGUGAUAGGAAAUCACUUUCAUAACCCUUAUAAUGAAUGUGUCAUAAAAUCACAAAAGGGACACAUGUAUUGACUUGUGAAGUAGAUAUCCAAAGGUGAAGAACCACAGGGGUUGUCACUUUAAGAUAUUACUAUAUCCCAGGAUCAGAACCAAAGCAACUGAUAGAGUAUUAUUGCCUUUAAGAAAGAAACAUCAGAGUGGGACUCUGGAAGCGUGCAUUCACUUAGGUUGUUAACCAAAGUGAAAAAUAAGCCAUUUUAACAAAUGGAACUUCAUAAUGGAUGAAGUACUAAUCAUAUGAAUGAAUUGUUAGUAUUGUACUACAAUGGUCUCAAGGUUGGAGCAAAGUUUGUAUAAAGUAUACAAACGAAAUAUAUGACGAUAAUAUAUAGUUUUAGAAACUGCUUCAAAAGGUGUUUUGAAUGGAAGGGGUUCUUUUUAGAACCAAUGAUUGAAUCCAAACCAUAAGGUCGUUAGUAGGGUACUACGACGUAAUGGGGCGAUAGCUCAAGCCAUGGAAUCAAGGUCUCAUCAAAGUAUUCGAACACAAUAAAAAGAGACAUCAUCAAAUGUUUUGGAAACAUUUGAUAAGUGAAAUCCCUUUUAAUAAAAAGGGAUUAAUACAUAACCAAGUUAACCUACGAGCAUAAGCUCUCUCAACAGCAUGAUGUAUAAGAUACACUAGUGAUUGACUUUAGUGCAAGUGGGAGAUUGUUGGAAAUAUGCCCUGAAAGUCAAUCUUUGGAAAGAAACCUUUCAGGACAAAUGAAUGGAUGUAUAGAUGAUUCUUAUACAUCAAAUGGCAAAGAUACUAAUUAGGACUAUCUCAAUAAACGAUAUAUGUCCUAAAUAGUGUAUCCAUGGACAAUGGAUCGAUUGAAGAAGUAAUCUAAUGAUGUUAGACUACAGAGACCUUCUUCACAUAACCAUUAUGUCCAAAAGGUUCCUAGGUCAUUGGAUUGUCGGAGGGAUACUGACAAUGCUUAGACCGGUACAUACUGUGUCUGCUUCAAAUGGAAGGAUGGAAAGUCUCAUCCCAUUCGUGUUGUGACACUAAGACAAGUAUGUAGGUGCUCAUUAAGGGAAUGAGUUCACUGAACACAAUCGAACGAGAGUACUUGCAUGGAGGUCUACUCACAUGUCAAGCAAGUAACUCUAAUGGUUGGAAUAAUGUAAGUAGUCCUUUGACCUGAGGCAUCGUCGUUGUCUUGUGGUUAAGUACUUAAUCUUUGAUUAUGUCAAAGUCACUCCCAUUCAGAGGUGUCCACGGCAUAGUUGGGGUUAAGCCACUUAGUCAUGAAGGCAAGUGUAUGCGCAACAAGGAAUCUCUAAUCCUCGAUAAAGAGAGGAAGAAUACUCUAAGAUAUGAUUCGGGAAUCUUCGGCCGAAGUAUCGAGCGUAUUAAAAGGAAAGCGUUCCUAUACGACUCAAAAGAAUCAUAUAAGAAGGAAUAAUCACAUUAGGGGUUUGACAUAAUAUAUCCAUACCCUAGUAAUGUGAUUGAGAGUAUUGUAUUUAGAGAAGGAUCGAAUUACAUUGUAAUUCCAACUGAAUAGGUUCUCCGAAUAAACUUCUACAUUAGCUUGGGUAGCUAUGACAUAUGGUUAGAUGUCACUCAUAGCUUGUGAGUUCUUCUAGAUGAUUAAAUGUAGUCAUCAAAGAAGAAGGUGAAUUGAAAAUGAAGUUUUCAAUUCACUAAGUGAUUGAAUUAAAUAUAAUCGAAUUGGAUUGGUGCCAAUCACCUCACUGCCUUGCUAAUUAGAACCUAAAAAGAUUGUUCACCAAUACACUAUUGUAGUGAGUAAUUAAUGGAUGAUGGAAACAAUUAAUUGGAUUAAUUAUGUGUUGUGAUUAAUUUAGAAAGUCUAAAGAAAUCAUAAAAAGCGAUAAAGAUCGUUUUGGGGGCUUAAAGAAACGUUCGGGUUUAAUUGGGCCCAUUGGGCCUAAACCCAUUGGGCUUUUAUUCAAGCAUUGGAUGACUUGAAAUAAAUGAAAAGCCCAAAGCCCAAACAACACAAAGAGGGCCGGCCACUUUAGGUAGGAAAAGGGGUGAGAUAUUUAGUCAAGUUGUUGGCUAGGUUUCUUUUGUCUAUAUAAGGAACUUUAUAGAGAUAAAGUUCAUUAGGGGUUUUUUUGAAGUGUUAAAACAACAAAGAGGCAAAAGAAAAAUAGCUCUCUAUACACUACAAAGUCCGGCCACCUUAAGGGUGUUUUUACUAACAUAUCUUACACCCUUUUGGUUAUUCCUUCAUCCUUCUCACUACACUAGUGGGUGAGGAUCUUUAGAGGUUUCCUACUUUGGAAACUUGAAGAGAACCUAGGAGCACUCAUUCUAACAAAGUGGAGGAGGCAAGGAGGGAAGCUAGGCUCAAGGAGUUCAAGGAACAAAGGGCUUGGAGGUGGUCCAUCCUUGGUCUCUCAAGUCUAGAUCAAGAGGUAUAAGACUACUAAACCUUCACUUUGUUCUUCUCUAUAAAAUUGUUUUGAUGCAUUAUAUAUAAACCUAUGAACCUUGAAGGGGAUUUGCAUGACUAUAGCUUUGAUAAUUUGUUAUAAAUGCUUCCGCUGUUUUCGUAUAUUAAAUUUUGAUUUGUAUAUGCAUGAUAGUCCUUUUGAAAUCCCAUUCUAGAAUCUCAUAAAUUUCCCUUCAGACGGGAGGUAUCGUCCGGCUGCAAGACGUUAAAGAAAGCGCUUCUUGGGAGGCAACCCAUGUAUUCAAAAAAAGGAAGAUCUAUGAAUCGCUCUACAAUCAGUUUUGCGUUUCUAAAAACCUUCACUUUUCUGCAUUUCUAUUUUGCCAUGAUUGUCAUUUUUUUAUUUUUGUUGUUUAUUUAAUUAUUUUUGGGUGUGGGUUUAUUUUUGAAACAUUGAUAAAUAUGCAAGAUAUUCUUACAUUCUUUUUCAUGAAAAAAAAAAAAGGGAACAUUAAGCAAGAAAUUACAAGAGGGAGCCUUCACAAAGGCUGCUUAGGAGAAGUCUCAGUAGUUGGCGGAGCCCCAGAAGGAGGAGGCAGCGGAGGUUGAUCAUUUGGAGCUUCAGUACGCGGUACAGCCCUAGAAGACGAAGGUAAAUGCUGUUGGAACAAGCCCACAAACCUCUGAUGAUCAAGUAAGAUCUGACCAUCAGAUUCCUGCAUCUGGUCAAUUUUCCUCUUCAUGUUUGUGGCAUAGUUGUGUGCGAGCUUGUGCAAUUGUUUUAUUUUCAUGCUUAAGCCCUCUAAUCUCCUGCUUAAGACUUAUCACUUCAGCCGCCAAUGAUUCAACUUGACAGGUUCGGGCAAAUAGGCGUUGGGCCAUAUUGGACACGGAACCUGCGCACUACACACUGAGAGCCAGAGAUUCCUUAACAGCCAGCUCAUCAGACCGUUUGGCAAGUAAUCUGUUAUCUUUGGGAGUGACAAGGUUCCUGGCCACCACCGCAGCUGUCAUAUCAUUCUUCAUCACCGAAUCCCCAACAGUAAGGGGACUAGUGGGGGAUAUGAAGGAUGGGCGCCAUAUGUUGUCUGGAGAAGGCGGGGCUACCUGUUCACCAAGGUUCAAGUCAAAACGACGGUCGGAAGGGCCAGACAUUUUUCAGAGGUGUUAAAGAAAGAGGAGAUCGGACAAGUCAAGAUCGUAGAAGUGCAACACGGGAGUUUUUACAGGCAGAAAUUCAAGUGUGCUUUGAACGUCCUGCAUACCUUUAUAAAAAUCAGCACGCGAUGGGAUUUCAGAGAUCGAAGAGGCGAGCUCAGAAAUCGAAGAAGCACCGAUUCCAGAUAUCGAAGAGCGCCAGCUUUCUCAAAAGUUGGGCUUGCUCACAAAGCACUGAUUCCAGAUAUCGAAGAGCGCCAGCUUUCUCAAAAGUUGGGCUUGCUCACAAACCACCGAUUCCAGAUAUCGAAGAGUGUCAGUUUUCUCAGCCUCGUCAGCACCCGUCACACGCAAACUCAGCUUUGCGAAAAUCACGGGCAGUUUGUCGAAGCGCCAAUUCCAACCAUCUGUCUCUCUCAGCCUCAUCAGCAUUUGUCACAUGCAGAGAAAGCUUUGCGGAAAUCACGGGCAGUUUGUCGAAGCGCCGAUUCCAACCAUCUGUCCUUCUCAGCCUCGUCAGCUUUGAGGAAAUCACGGGUAAUCUGUCGACGAUUUCUGUUGAAGUAGAAAACACGUGAAGUUACUGUUCAAUCAUCCAACGGUUGUCGAUAGGAGUGAAAGAACAGUACCGGUUAUUAUUUCCUAUAAAUGUCGACCUUCACCCUCCAUGGCAAGGCAGACAUACAUAACAUUCCAUCAUCUCUGAGAAUGCAUUCCCAUCGAACCCUCUCGAGUCACUCAGUGUUCCUCAUCCCCUGGGAUACCUUUGCAAACAAAUCUUCAAGAGCAAAAGUAUUUCAUAUCAUGAAGGUAAAGAGCAAGAGUAUCUCAUAUCAUGCAUUCUCCAUGUCCUUUUCCUUGUCUUUGUUCUAACCUGUAGGACAUGGAGAAAUUGCUCUCAAGUACGCGUCUUCCACUGCUGAUGUACUUCCAAAGAAGCUGAAACAUCUACCUGAAGAACAGAUAAGGCAAGCGAAAAUGAUACCAGCAGCAUAUGGAGACAACGUGCAGAAGAAACAACCAGAGAAUAAUGCAGCUUGCACAAUCAACCCAGCAUAAAGAGUCUGAGUGGAAGAACUAGAGAAGCUGCCACAUCUGCUUGGAGAACAAAUAAGGAAUUGAGCCUGCACAAUCAACUCGAGAGCAGAAGGAGUCUGAGUUAAAGAACUCAAGAAGCUUCAACAACAUCGCCAAAGAGCAAAGCUUCGCCGUACAAUUCCAAUCCAGUUCAAGAUCAAAGCUGUGGAAAGGCAACAAGAUCAUCUACCUCCAUAACCAGAUUUGCGUUCCUAAACUCUACUCUUUCUUGUUUUUACCUUGCUAUACUUGUCAUGUUUAUUCGUUAUUUGUUUAUUUUCUUGUUUUUGUGUGAGUUUAUACUUGAAACAUUGAGGACAAUGUUUGAUUUAAGUGUGGGGGGGUAACCAUUGUUUUGCAUGAAAGUCGUAGGAGUUUAUCACCCAUUACUUCUAAUGUUGUUUCUUGCUCUUUUAAGUGUUUUUUAAGCUGUUUUGAAGUGUUUUAGUUUUGUUUUGAUAUAAAAAUCCGAAAAUCUCAUAAAAAUUUGAAAAAUUGUUUUGUAAAACCUAAAAAGAGUUGUUUUUGUAUGUUUAUUUGUGUCUUAGGGUACCUUCCAACACAAUGAUGAGGAUUUGGUUUUUAAUUACAUGACUGUUAAAGAGAGUUAUAAACAUGGAUGAAACAUUUGAUUUACUCUUUGGUGUAUGCUUGGUUGUGGUUAUAAUUUAUGAAUUCACAUGCAAUCAUAAAGGAAAAAUUAGUUUUUGUAACAUGCUUGAAGGAAGGAACUCAAACAAACGCUACAACCUUGUGAGACUUGAGCCUAAACGUUAUUUGGAGAGUUGAUAAUCUGUGCAUUAUUGUUUUCUAAGUCGUUGCAUGAUCUCAUUAUUCUUUGCUUGGUUACUACUUAGAAGGCGUUUCAUCAUUUAGUUCCAAAUGCUAGAACUCAUGCCCAUUUUCAUUCAAAGCAUGAUAUUGAUUUGCAUAAACACAUAUUCAAGAUGAAGUUGUGUAGUUACCACCACCAAAGCCAAAUUGCCGUGUAUCCUACUUCAUUAUAUGUUUAAGUUAACCCCAUUGAGCCUUGUUAGCCUACGUUCUUUGUUAACCCACGUUAUCCUCACCUAGCCUAGAUUAGGACCAUCCAUACCCUUGUUCUUAAAGCAUAGUAAAGCAUGAUUCAAAUUGAAUUCCUUGUGAUUAUGUAUGGCAGAAAAUAAGUGUGGGGGAAGUGUUUCUCAUGUAAGUAGUGUGCCAUAGGCACGGGUGGAAAGAAAAAAAAAAUAUAAAAAAAAAAAAAAAAAGUUGAAUUUGACCCUAAGAGUUGUUUAAAUCUUUCCCUUACGUCUAAAAGUUGAUUUCUGCAAUCUAAGUGAAUUAUAAGUUCAAGUUCAUUAUUUUAUUUGCUAUUGCUUUAAGAACAUUUGUUUUCCCUUACCUUCAUUUGUUAGCCAACACCCCAAGCCCGUUACAACCUUUGACUUCAAUCUUGAGUGUUAUGUGUUUCAAUUCGUGGAGUUUGAAUUUGGUAUGAGCAUAUGGUAUCACUGGUUCUCGCAUCUAAGUAGUAGCAUUCCAUUCAUGAGAUCAUAUCUAAACAUGCUUAAUAACUCCAGAAAUCGCUUUCUUUGUAAUACAUAUAUGUGAGCGUUCGUUUUCAUGUUUACAUCAAUCUUCUCACAUAUAACUAGUAUAGGGUGUGUAGUUAGAAAAUCUGAGUGAAAAUUGAGUGAAUAUCUUGUAAGGACUUGAGCAAAUUCUCUAAGGCAUGUUACUACAUUCAAAAUCAUAUUUUAAUUGGUUAAAUGUGAACUAGUACGUGGUGACUAUGAUUAAGUAUGUGCUUAAGUGUGAAGAUGACUCAAAUCUGUGGGGAUAAUGAUUUUUAACAUGUCAUGUGCGUUGGAAAUCCCUAAGGCAAACGUUGGAAGGUUUAGGUUGUGUUUUGUUUUCUUUAUUUUGCUCGAGGACUAGCAAAAGCUAAGUGUGGGGGUAUUUGGUAAGCUCAUAUUUAUAUAUAUUUUACAUAAAAUUCACUUGUCUUUUCUUAGUUAGUUCCUUAUAUUUUUGAGCUAUUUACUAUGUUUUUGUGUUUUGUGUGAUUUAUCAAGCAAAGAAAAGAAAAGUAGCACAAGUGAAUUAUUAAGUAACAAAUUCGUCAAAACUGCCUGUGCAGAUUAUCUGACUUUGGAAGCAUGUUACAAACAGCUCAGAAUGAAUGGGAGAAUGACCCUUAUAUGCGUGGAAAGCUACGGAUGUCUAUUUUCUGGAGCAAUUUACGGAUUGUUAAUCUCAUUUUUCAAGAAGACGUUAUGGGCAUUGUAACACUGAAAGGUCAGAAAAGGGCUAAGCAGAUUUGGCUAAUAAAAAGAGAAAGGCAACACAUGGGCAAAGGAAACACACACACACAUGGGCAGAAAAUGGGUGGAUUGUUGGCUGAAAUAAUGAAGAACAUGUGUCUGCAAAUGCAAAGGAAAAACACACACACAUGGGCAAAGGAAACACACACACACAUGGGUAGGAAUUGUGGGUGUUUGGUGGUUGAAAUGAUGAAGCAUGUGUGUGUAAAUGUAAAGGAAAACAUGGCAGAAAAUGUGUGUGUGUUUGGUGGUUGAAAUGAUGAAGCAUGUGUGUGUAAAUGUAAAGGGGAAACAUGACAACUCACACCCACACAAGAUGCACAUGCAAAGGAAAUGGAGUGGUCCUCUCUCAAGCCUAUAAAUACCACCUCCCAUAUUCAUCAACAUAACAGAUUUUCUCCUUGCUUUGGCCGAAACUUCCCACCACCAUUCUCUCUAAUUUCAGCCAAAAACCACCCCUAGCCACACCACCCAUCAAUCCUAAACCUUUCCAUACCAUUCCCCAUCCAUUCUACACCAUAAAAACCACCCAAAACCGUCCAAAACCUCUAGUGCCGCAGCUUGCAAGGAAGGAAAGAGAAGGAACAUCUUGUGCUGUGCCUAUGCCCAAGCCUUGGGAGUGUUGGAGCGUUUCUAGGUGUUUUCUAUCUUUGAUUUCAAUGUUUAAAUUAAGUUAUCUUUGUGUAAUUGCGAGUAUGAGGAACUAAACCCCCCUUGGCUAGGGGGGGAUUCAAAACCAUGUUUAUGCUUGCUAUAUGAUUUGAUUACUUCCAAUUGCGUUUCAUGAAUUGUGAAUUUAAUUUACUUAUCUCUAUGAAUUAAAACUAAUUUGUGUAUGUUGGUUGAGAGUGCACGCUUAAUUUUCAUGCAUAAGUUUGAUGUUAGGAUAUAAGGCAGUUUCACCUAAUCGUUAUGAACUUAUAUUCAUAAGUAGUAAAGGUUGUUGAUCACAAUCGUGUUAAGUAAAUUCUUGGCAUAAGUUUCAUGCAAUUCAUAGUAACGAGUGCCUCGUCAAUGCUUAUGUUUUUCAUAAAACUUAAUGAUUCUUGCGUGUAUCUCUAUUAUGCAAUUCAUGUAGGGAACUUGUAGGGAAUGUUUUGGGUUGUCGUAUGCAAUCAUCCAACCUAAUAACUUGUGGAAAAACUGAGGGUUAAUUAGUGCAAUUCACGGUUAAUUUGGGGCGUUGAGUAUUCAUGGUUUGUCGAAGAGCAAUUGGAAAUCAUUUUGUAUGCAAGUAUAACAUGUGUGGAGAAGAACCCCUUAGCUAGCUUCUCAUCCAUUCAAUUUGAUCAAUCUCGUUUUAAAACCUAUUUUGUUUUACAAAGUUCUUGUUUUGUUUUCAAAUUCGUCUAAAUCAAUCCCCCUUUAUUUUGUUGAGUCAUAUUAGUUAGAAAUCAAUUUAGUUUGUGUUUUUAAGUGUCUUAAGUCAAGUUAUAACAUAUUUUCGUUCAAAUUCUUCCUUAGUGUUCAAAACUGCCCAGAUUGUGUUUUUAAGGCAGUUUUGAGUGUUUAGGUGCUGUUUUGAGUCUUUUGGUUUGUUUUAGUGUUUUAAAGUAUAGUUUUGCAUUUUUUGAGUCUAGUUUAGUGUUUUAAACUUUGUUUUUACGUUUUCAAGUCAGUUUCCAAGUGAUUUAGCAAUCCCUCCUAAUCCCCGGCCUAGAACGAUCCCUACUUACAUACUUUACUACAAUUGAUAAAAGAGGGUUUAAUUUGUGUGCUUAUAUAUUUCGCAUCAAAGCCGAUCAAGGGCUCGCCUUACCCAAGGGGAUAUUAUAGGUGCAGUACGGUGAAGGGGUGGCCGGCGAGGAAACACAUGGAGCAGGCUUCGGAUGAUCCGGCAAUGCUGAUAGUAACGUACGAAGGGGAGCACCGUCACGUACCGGAGAGUGUGGGAUUGGUGUUUGAGUCAACAUGAGUGAAAGUGGGUAGAAACAGAAGGAAAGUGGGUAGCCGUCAUCCCAGCCAGCAGUGGUUGUCAAAGAUGUUGGAAAUAUGCCCUGAAAGUCAAUCUUUGGAAGAAAUCUUUCAGGACAAAUGAAUCGAUGUAUGGAUGAUUCUUAUACAUCAAAUGACAAAGAUACUAAUUAGGACUAUCUCAAUAAACGAUAUAUGUCCUGAAUAGUGAAUCCAUGGACAAUGGAUCGAUUGAAGAAGUAAUCUAAUGAUGUUAGACUACAGAGACCUUCUUCAUAUAACCAUUAUGUCCAAAAGGUUCCUGGUCAUUGGAUUGUCGGAGGGAUACUGACAAUGCUUAGACCAGUACAUGCUGUGUCCGCUUCAAUUGGAAGGAUGGAAAGUCUCAACCCAUUCGUGUUGUGACACUAAGACAAGUAUGUAGGUGCUCAUUAAGGGAAUGAGUUCACUGAAUACAAUCGAAUCGAGAGUACUUGCAUGGAGGUCUACUCACAUGUCAAGCAAGUAACUCAAAUGGUUGGAAUAAUGUAAGUAAUCCUUUGACCUGAGGCAUCGUCGUUGUCUUGUGGUUAAGUACUUAAUCUUUGAUUAUGUCAAAGUCACUCUAUCAGAAUGUCAACGGCAUAGUUGGGGUUAAGCCACUUAGUCAUGAAGGCAAGUGUAUGCGCAACAAGGAAUCUCUAAUCCUCGAUAAGAGAGGAAGAAUACUCUAAGAUAUGAUUCGGGAAUCUUCGGCCGAAGUAUCGAGCGUAAUAAAGGAAAGUGUUCCUAUACGACUCAAUUGGAACAUAUAAGAAGGAAUAAUCACAUUAGGGGUUUGACAUGAUAUAUCCAUACCCUAAUGAUGUGAUUGAGAGUAUUGUAUUAGAGAAGGAUUGAAUUACAUUGUAAUUCCAACUGACUAGGUUCUCCGAAUAAACUUCUACAUUAGCUUGGGUAGCUAUGACAUAUGGUUAGAUGUCACUCAUAGCUUGUGAGUUCUUCUAGAUGAUUAAAUGUAGUCGUCAAAGAAGAAAGGUGAAUUAAAAUGAAGUUUUAAUUCACUAAGUGAUUGAAUUAAAUAUGAGCAAUUGGAUUGAUGCCAAUCACCUCACUGCCUUGCUAAUUAGAACCUAAAAGGUUGUUCGCCAAUACACUAUUGUAGUGAGUAACUAAUGGAUGAUGGAAACAAUUAAUUGGAUUAAUCAUGUGUUGUGAUUAAUUUAGAAAAGUCUAAAGAAAUCAUAAAAGCGAUAAAGAUCGUUUUGGGCUUAAAGAAACGUUCGGGUUUAAUUAGGCCCAUUGGGCCUAAACCCAUUGGGCUUUUAUUCAAGCAUUGGAUGACUUGAAAUAAUAAAAGCCCAAAGCCCAAAAACAACACAAAGGGGCCGGCCACUUUAGGUGAGGAAAGGUGAGAUAUUUAGUCAAGUUGUUGAUUAGGUUUCUUUUUGUCUAUAUAAAGAACUUUAUAGAGAUAAAGUUCAUUAGGGUUUUUUGUGAGUUUUGAACAACAAAAGAGGCAAAAGAAAAUAGCUCUCUUGAACCACAAAGGCCGGCCACCAUAAGGGGGUUUUUUACUAACAUCUCUUACACCCUUUGGUUAUUCCUUCAUCCUUCUCACUACACUAGUGGGGUGAGGAUCUUUAGAGGUUUCCUACUUUGGGAACUUGAAGAGAACCUAGGAGCACUCAUUGUAACAAAGUGGAGGAGGCAAGGAGGGAAGCUAGGCUCAAGGAUUUCAAGGAGCAAAGGGCUUGGAGGUGGUCCAUCCUUGGUCUCAAGUCUAGAUCAAGAGGUAUAAGACUAACCUUCACUUUGUUCUUGAUUCUAAAAAUUGUUUUGAUGCAUUAUAUAUAAACCUAUGAACCUUGAAGGGGAUUUGCAUGACUAUAGCUUUGAUAAUAUGUUAUAAAUGCUUCCGCUGCUUUCGCAUAUUAAAUUUGAUUUGUAUAUGCAUGAUAGUCAUUAUGAAAUCCCAUUCUAGAAUCUCAUAAUUUUCCCUUCAAGUGGUAUCAGAGCCAAAGGUUUAUGUAUAAUGUGUCCUUUUGGAUUUUAUGCAUAUGGGUAUUAAUGUUAUGUAUGACAUAUUAUUGUUUCAUUCAAAGUAUGUUUAUCUUUUGUUUUUCAAUAGUUGAAAAAUGUUAGUCAAAAGUUGAGAAAGAUAUGUAUGCAAAAGAUGUUUUGUAUGCAUGAAUGAAAAAUGAGUUUAGAACUAGUUUGACAAAUUAUUUCUUCAUUUAAAAGUAUGUUUGUCUUUUGUUUUUCAAUGGUUGAAAAAAUAUAAAUCAAGAGUUGAAAAAGAUAUGCAUGUAAAAAGGUGUUUUAGAUGCAUGAAUGAAGAAUAAGUCAUGAACAAAAUUAAGGGUUUUGAACCAAAGGGAUGGCACGGUUUUGGGGGUGGUUUUGGGUUGUGUUUGUGUUUUAUUGUAAACCACUCUCACAUCCUUUUAAAGCUAGAAAGAAGAAACCUUGUCACUUUUGCUUUUGGGUUUGAAAAAUCACCAAGAAUGUACAAAUCUUGAAAUUGUGUUCAUGGUUUUGUUCUUGGUGUUCAUAGUUUGGUUUUGGGUGAAAAUGUUUUUAGUUGGUUUUCAUGCAUGGUUUCAUGGUUUUAGGUGAUGUUCUUACCAUCCAUAACCAUAUUAAAACCUUUUAAAACCCUAGACUUGACUAGGAGGAUUUCCAUCACCCAUCUCACCUAAGUUUUAAUGGCAAAACCAAGUGACAAGCAAAUUUUAAAUUUUUCUUACAUAAUGUGGCUUUUAAUGCAUGUUGUGUAAGAUUGUGUAAGAGACCUCCCAUCCCCUUAAUGUGGCCGGCCUCCCUAGUGGAUUUAUCCACUUGUGGGGCUAUUUUGUAAUCUUUGAAAAGUUGAUAUUUACUUUAAAAUAUUUACGGUUUACCCCUAACUUUUCAUAUUUACAUUUAGGCCCCUACUAACUAGAAAGUUAAAAUAUUUGAUUUUAAUUUUGUUAGUUGUUUAAACUCAUAAUUAUAUUAUGCCCAUAUGCACUAAAUCUAAAUGUUUAUGUUGCAUUCCAUGAUGAUUAUUUAAAUGUGUUUAAGUAGUUAUAAAAUGGGUGACUAUGGACUUAUGCCUUAAACGAUAAUUGAGCUAUGAGAUAAGGCACUAAAAUCAAAUUGUUUGAACCUUGGGAAUGUGUUUUAAUUACUGUUUAAUUGGACCUUGUCACGUUUGACGUUAAUCUUUCUCUCCCCCUUUAGUAUAUGUAAUUUAUAGGAAUUUGUACAAAUCGGUUUGUAAUUCUUAUUACUUCUUAAUCUCUAUUUGUUAGUGGAUUCCCUCUAGUGCUAGACUAGAGUUUCUUUAACUAUUGGUAAAGGAGACAUAACUAAAAGUGGGUUUUGACAUGAGAUUAAAGAUUAAAAAGGGUCCAAUGCCCUAAUUAGCAAUGAAUGAUUGUCUUUCAUUUCUAAUGGCUCAAUGAAAAUGGUUUUAAUUGGAUUGAUAAGCACGUAAUUAAAUUGACACAAUCUCCCCGAGUUUAUAUUCAACAAUGAUGGCUCGUUGUUGCAAUAACCUAAUAAGUCCAUGGUCAUCCAAGAGCCUAAGAUAACUAUAAAGUUCAAAUUCAAAGGAAUGCAAAAACCGUAGUAGUAGUAGUUACUUCCAAUAUUUGAAAAAUUUGUUUUUGAUAUUGAUUUGUUUUUUUUAAAACAAAUAGUGGGAGUAUCAUACGCUACUAAACUAUAAUGAAUACAAUUAGUAGUCAUAUAUAUCUCCAACAUUGUGAAAAAUGUUUUGAUAUUGAUUUGUUUUAUGAAAACGAAUAGUGGGGAUAUUAUAUGCUACUAAAUUCAUUAACUUUGGACUAAUAGUUAUAAUAGGACAAUUUAUUGGAAUAUGAUUAAAUAAAUAAAAUUGAUGAGACCUUAAAAUCCCUCAACCAAACAAUAUUAAGUUGUAAGCGUAAGAGUGCUUAGAACACUUUUUCGUGGCCUUCCACCGUGGUAGGCUCCAAGCGUUUAUGACUUGUACACCGCCUUCACCCUAUCAUGGGGAAGUGACAAAGUGCAUGCUUAUAUUCAGGAGGAGUUUAUUUAAAACAUUUGAUGAGGUUAAGGUAGGCAACGAGUGUAGCCGACAUCGUAUCAUCGUGAGUUCAUGCUUGAACCCCUUCCUAAACCGGCAUGGUGGGACAAAACUUAACUAAGAGAAAAGGUGCCAACAUCGUAUCAUCGUGAGGUAUUUUUCUCUAGAGGCCAAAAAGAUGGGUAAUCACAAGAGGUUGUUGUGAAUGGGUACUUGUACCCUCUCAUUAUUAUUGUUGCUAGCCGACAUCGUAUCAUCGUGAGGUGGGCUUGGUAAUAGUGAGCCUCCCGUAACCCACUAGGAGUUUUCUUUGAAAUCUCCCGGAUUCCAUCUUGAGGGAUAUGGAAUUUGCCAAAAAUGGUGGGUGGUGUCAUUCGGUUUAAAGACCCAAAUCGUUUGACUUAAUCAACAAUCAAUCUAAUUAUUUUAUUUGUUUAUGUAUAUAGAUAUGGUUGGAAGCACACUCGCGAAAAUACUCGACAAACAUUGCCUAGAGGGGCACAAUUUCCCAUCAUGGUAUCGUAAUGUCAAGAUUCUCCUAACCUUGGAGAAGAUUGUUUACGUACUAGACAAGGCUCCACCUCACAUACCUCUUGGCCCUGACGCCACUGAGGAUGAACGUGCUAAGUAUGACAAGCACGUUGAGGAUGAUACACAAGCCAAGUGCUAUCUGUUGGCUUCCAUGAAUGAGGAGCUACAGAGACAGCACGAGGGCAUGGACAGUGCAUCUUCCAUAAUACUCCAUCUUACGGAGUUAUAUGGUGAAGGGACGCGCAACCGUCGCUUUAGCACUGUCUGUGAACUUGUGAAGACCAAAAUGGUCAAGGGGGCUCCAGUGCAUCAACAUGUACUGAAGAUGAUAGGAUUCAUUGAACAAUUGGAGAACCUUGGUACUCCACUUGACGGGGAAUUGGCCCAGGACUUCAUAUUGGCUUCUCUUUCUGAUUCAUUCUCGCAGUUCGUAAUGAACUACACAUGAAUAAGAUGGAUAGUACUCUUUCCGAGUUACUAAACAUGUUAGUAACUGCCGAGAAGACUAUGAAGAAAGAGAACGUUGUAGGGACUGCUGCAGUAGCCUACAAUAAGCCAUCCUCUUCCAAGGCCAAGCCGCAAGGCAAAGGCAAAGGGAAGGAGAAGAAGUCCCCCACUCCUAAGCCGAAAGGAGGAGUGAGGAAAAAGAAGGCAAAGGAGCCCAAAGGGACUUGCCACCACUGUGGAAAGGAGGGGCAUUGGAAGAGGAAUUGCAGGUUAUACCUUGCAACUCUUAAAGACAAGCCACAAGGUAUGGUUUAUGUUCUUAUCUUCAAUUCUAAAUGUUAGAUCUUCUAAAUAUUUAUAUUUGAUAUAAAGUGCUAAUCACUUGUAUAAUUGUAUAUAGGUGGAGAAGCCAAGUAGAAGAAGAACAAGCAAGAAAAUGUGGUGAAGGGUUCGGCCACUAUGAUUUUUGCUAGGCAUUUAAAGAUUGUCUUUAAACUUUCUUAUUUUGGUAAGAACUAAUUAUAUGGCUUCAUUUGAUGGAAGGCCACUAUUAGUGACUAAAUGUAUAAAGGCAUUUAUGUUAGUCUCUAAAUGUAUAGAGCUAAUACCUUUUGUAUUAAAGAUUAUGAAUGUUUGAACUAUCAUAUUAAUGUAAUGUGAAGUAUGCCUUUUUAAUAUACUAUUUCCUUAAAGUAGUGUUAUGAAUUGAAAAUUGUCUUGUUGUAUCCUAGAUGAGAUACAAAAGUUAUAUCACUUAAUUGUAAUGUGAUAAACCAAACUUUAGAUUUAUCAAUUAUGGAUAGAUCUCACAUGUAGGACAUAAAAGGAUACAAUGAAUCUUUAGAUUUGGUUCCAUUUGUCUACUUAUGAGUUCUAUAUGAAUUGACAAAAGUCUAGAGAUUCCUUUCUUGAAGAAAAGGAAGAUCACAUUAUAAUGAUAUAAGUAAUAAGAAAAUUGUUUCUUAUAUAGUUAUCACAUGAAACACAAUGAUCAAGAUCACUCUUGAUUCAAUUAGUAGUUUUGAACAAUUAAUUGGGCAUUCUUAAAAUUGUUUUUAAAAUGUCAAUUGUGUUAGUGACUAAACCAAGAAAGAAGUGU